GGGGAUAGCCCGGCGAAAGCCGGAUUAAUACCGCAUACGAUCUACGGAGGAAAGCGGGGGAUCUUCGGACCUCGCGCUGUAGGGGCGGCCGAUGGCAGAUUAGCUAGUUGGUGGGGUAAAGGCCCACCAAGGCGACGAUCUGUAGCUGGUCUGAGAGGACGACCAGCCACACUGGGACUGAGACACGGCCCAGACUCCUACGGGAGGCAGCAGUGGGGAAUUUUGGACAAUGGGGGAAACCCUGAUCCAGCAAUGCCGCGUGUGUGAAGAAGGCCUUCGGGUUGUAAAGCACUUUUGUCCGGAAAGAAAACCUCUCGGUUAAUACCUGAGGGGGAUGACGGUACCGGAAGAAUAAGCACCGGCUAACUACGUGCCAGCAGCCGCGGUAAUACGUAGGGUGCGAGCGUUAAUCGGAAUUACUGGGCGUAAAGCGUGCGCAGGCGGUUUGUUAAGACAGAUGUGAAAUCCCCGGGCUUAACCUGGGAACUGCAUUUGUGACUGGCAAGCUAGAGUAUGGCAGAGGGGGGUAGAAUUCCACGUGUAGCAGUGAAAUGCGUAGAGAUGUGGAGGAAUAC
rnacentral:rRNA from 1 species